CCUACGGGUGGCAGCAGUAGGGAAUUUUCGUCAAUGGGCGCAAGCCUGAACGAGCAAUGCCGCGUGAACGAGGAAGGUCUUCGGAUCGUCAAGUUCUGUUGAAGGGGAAAAAGAGCGGAGAGAGGAAAUGCUUUCUGUUUGAUAUUACCCUUCGAGGAAGUCACGGCUAACUACGUUCCAGCAGCCGCGGUAAUACGUAGGUGGCGAGCGUUUUCCGGAAUUAUUGGGCGUAAAGUGUGCGUAGGCGGCCUGCUAAGUCUGGGGUGAAAGCGCAUGGCUUAACCAUGGUACUGCUCUGGAAACUGUGGAGCUUGGGUGCGUGAGGGGCAGGCGGAAUUCCUAGUGUAGCGGUGAAAUGCGUAGAUAUUAGGAGGAACACCGACGGCGAAGGCAGCCUGCUGGACCGUAACUGACGUUGAGGCUCGAAAGCGUGGGGAGCAAACAGGAUUAGAUACCCUGGUAGUC
rnacentral:rRNA from 1 species